rnacentral:lncRNA from 1 species
UUCUCCUUCUUCUUCUUUCUCUUCUCCACUACACAGAAAACUCAACAAACCCUAGCAUCAAAUUCAAUGUUCAUAAAACUAACCCUCUUUUUUCUUCUUCUUCUUCUUACUCUGUCAUUUUCUUUUACUCACAUUUCCCACUUCAAAGUAACCGUAACACUAAUCUUUUUUUUUAAUUCUCAGCCAUGCCUGAAGCAAGAGACCGUCGCGCAGUACCUGCUGACGUGGCAGCAAUCUACAUUAGGCGUCGAGCUUCGGUUUUAUUCGGAUCUGAUAUCUACAAUGACUCAACCGGUUCCGGUUCUACCCGGUUCGGUGGUUCGGGAAUAUUAGUGGC